rnacentral:rRNA from 1 species
ACUACGGGGGGCAGCAGUGAGGAAUAUUGGUCAAUGGACGAGAGUCUGAACCAGCCAAGUAGCGUGAAGGAUGACUGCCCUAUGGGUUGUAAACUUCUUUUAUAUGGGAAUAAAAUGUUCCACGUGUGGGAUUUUGUAUGUACCAUAUGAAUAAGGAUCGGCUAACUCCGUGCCAGCAGCCGCGGUAAUACGGAGGAUCCGAGCGUUAUCCGGAUUUAUUGGGUUUAAAGGGAGCUUAGGUGGAUUGUUAAGUCAGUUGGGGAAGUUUGCGGCUCAACCGUAAAAUUGCAGUUGAAACUGGAAGUCUUGAGUACAGUAGAGGUUGGCGGAAUUCGUGGUGUAGCGGUGAAAUGCUUAGAUAGCACGAAGAACUCCGAUUGCGAAGGCAGUUCACUGGACUGCAACUGACACUGAGGCUCGAAAGUGUGGGUAUCAAACAGGAUUAGAUACCCGGGUAGUC